rnacentral:lncRNA from 1 species
CCGGCCGAGUAGGGGGGAUGCCUGCCCGGGGUGUCCGCGCCGCCCAGGCGGGACCGACAGGUCGGCCGGGCGGACGGUGGGACCCGGGCCAGCCCGCGCACCUUCGUGGGGAGGAAGCGAGGUCCCCGGGAGGAAGGAGUGGAUUUGGUUUCCCCGCAGUCUGGUUUACGCGUAUAGAAUGCAGCCAUCUGGCGGCUUGCGGUCCCUGGACUUGCCCCGAAGGUUGA